GAUGAACGCUGGCGGCGUGCCUAAUACAUGCAAGUCGAACGCUUGCUUGAGGACUUGUCUUCAAGCGGGAGUGGCGAACGGGUGAGUAAUACAUAAGCAAUCUGCCCAUCGGCCUGGGAUAACAGUUGGAAACGACUGCUAAUACCGGAUAGGUGAUGAAGAGGCAUCUCUUGAUCAUUAAAGUUGGGAUACAACACGGAUGGAUGAGCUUAUGGCGUAUUAGCUAGUAGGUGAGGUAACGGCUCACCUAGGCGAUGAUACGUAGCCGACCUGAGAGGGUGACCGGCCACAUUGGGACUGAGACACGGCCCAAACUCCUACGGGAGGCAGCAGUAGGGAAUUUUCGGCAAUGGGCGAAAGCCUGACCGAGCAACGCCGCGUGAGUGAAGAAGGCCUUCGGGUUGUAAA
rnacentral:rRNA from 1 species